CAGCCGCCGCGGGAAUACGUAGGUGGCAAGCGUUAUCCGGAACUAUUGGGCGUAAAGCGCGCGUAGGCGGUUUUUUAAGUCUGAUGUGAAAGCCCACGGCUCAACCAUGGAGGGUCAUUGGAAACUGGAAAACUUGAGUGCAGAAGAGGAAAGUGGAAUUCCAUGUGUAGCGGUGAAAUGCGCAGAGAUAUGGAGGAACACCAGUGGCGAAGGCGACCUUCUGGUCUGUAACUGACGCUGAUGUGCGAAAGCGUGGGGAUCAAACAGGAUUAGAUACCCCGGUAGUCCCUGUCUCUUAUAC
rnacentral:rRNA from 1 species